rnacentral:rRNA from 1 species
GACGAACGCUGGCGGCGUGCUUAACACAUGCGAGUCGAACGGAAAGGCCCUGCUUUUGUGGGGUGCUCGAGUGGCGAACGGGUGAGUAACACGUGAGUAACCUGCCCUUGACUUUGGGAUAACUUCAGGAAACUGGGGCUAAUACCGGAUAGGAGCUCCUGCUGCAUGGUGGGGGUUGGAAAGUUUCGGCGGUAGGGGAUGGACUCGCGGCUUAUCCGCUUGUUGGUGGGGUAGUGGCUUACCAAGGCUUUGACGGGUAGCCGGCCGGAGGGGGUGACCGGCCACAUUGGGACUGAGAUACGGCCCAGACUCCUACGGGAGGCAGCAGUGGGGAAUAUUGCACAAUGGGCGGAAGCCUGAUGCAGCAACGCCGCGUGCGGGAUGACGGCCUUCGGGUUGUAACCCGCUUUCGCCUGUGACGAAGCGUGAGUGACGGUAAUGGGUAAAGAAGCACCGGCUAACUACGUG